UCUUACGACAAGCAUGGGUUACUGAAGAUCAAUUCUAACCCGGACCUUCACGGGUAUGGUUCAGGGGACUUGAGCCUUAUGUCUGUGCACCUGUUCAGGCCAAGUGACAUUUGUCAGUUGGUCAAGUGAUGAGCUCGGGUCAGUUUGAAUUUUAGCAAAUCUUUGUAAGUAACUGUUUCCACAAAUGCAUGGAAUUAAAAUAUUACUAUAUUUCUCUGAUGUUUCAGUAUGAAAUUAGUGUGUACGCGUGUGUAGAAGUGAACUCUGUUAUAUAACAGGUUCGAAUCCAGGAUUGGACCAAAAUCUCUUGUACAUAUACGGUUUUAUUCUGUAUAGUUGACACCUGAUAAACAGUUGUCCUGAUAUAUAAAUAUGUAAACCAAACCUAUAGUCAAGGAAACAUCGUAAAAUACACGAAGAUUGUAACUCACAAAUAAAAUUUUGUAUUUUUGUU